rnacentral:piRNA from 1 species
UCAGAAUUUAACCACAAAGCUGCCGUGCC